rnacentral:lncRNA from 1 species
ACAACAACAACAACAACAACAACAACAACAACAACGAAGAAAAGGGACAACAACAACAACAACAACAACAACAACGAAGAAAAGGGGCCUUGGGGCUGUAGGGCUGCAGUCCAAGAAAAAGGUUCUGAUGGUCAGUGAGAAAUUUGAUUUACAAGAUUAAUUAUUAAAAAAUGCUUGGAGUUUCUCAUCUUCAGAAUCAAGAAAACAGUGGAAUUUGAUUGAUUCAGUGGAGUGCAGCCAAGCUUUUCAGCUGCCAAGUUUAGUGCCUGAAGUUCUUUCUGCUGGCAUCAGAACCAGAUCUCCACAUGAGCGGGACUUUCCUUAUGCUCCACAUUCCAACAAUUACCAUCAUGUUUUAAAAUAAGCAAGGCAACUCUUCGUGCAUUGGAAAUUAUGAGAAAUCCUUGGAAAAUGAAAAGCAGAAGGGAUUAUGUUAAAGCCUUAAGCUAAGGCAAGAUCAAAUGAGAACCAAGAGGUUUAUUCUCCAGCACUUGUGAACCAGAGAGUCUCUGAGCUUGGAGAUUCCAGACAAAUGGGAUGAAGGGGUGCCAUGCACACUGAGGAUUCCUGCAGCCCCAUCCUCCCUGCCAGCUCAGAAUGCCAAGAGCCACAGGACACUUGAAUAUAUUCAGACCUACUAUGUUUCUCAGAGCAUUCUUCCUUGUGCAUGGCUCUGAAUCAUGUUUCAAGUGCUUGUACUCGGACCCUAUCAUCCACAAGGUAAAGAACCUGAGUGUCAGAGACGUCUCACAAGUACUAAGCAGUGAAGCUUGAUUUGAGUUCACUUCAGGCUGAUUCCAGAAAUAGUGAAAUAUAAUUCCUCCUCAAAUAAGCGAUACAAUUAGACCUCUAGUUUGUUGGUAAUAAAAUUUUGAAAGUCUGUCUUUGGCCUUUUUCUCUCCCCUGGGACUCUCUCAUCCAGGCCUGGUAUCUCCCUGAGUGCUGUAUUGCAAUAGCGGCCCACUCAGCAUCUUUAUAUGCAUGUCUAAGAGGUCUCUGAAACCCAAUGUGCCCUAAAACUCCUGAUUUUUGCCUCCUAAUUCCCCACACCACACUUUCCCUCCCUCAGUUUUCCUCCUUUUAGGAAAUAGCUAUCUAAUAGCUCAACUUCAAAAAUGAAGAAGCUGCUUUCAACUCCUUUGUUUUCCUUAUUCCCAUAAUUAGUCAAUCAGCAAUAAUGUCUGUCAUGUUUCAAAAAUAUUCACUGGCUUCUCUUCCCUUCUACUAACUGACCAAAUCACCAUCUGCUCUCACCUGAAUUAACACAAUCACCUCUUACUUACCACCUUUCUCUGUGUCCUUACCAAACUUGACAGUGUAUUCGCCAAAAGGCAGCCAAAGUUAUAUUUUUAAAAUAGAAAUUAAAAUAAAAUAAAAUAUAAAAAUAGAAAUCAUGCUGUUUCCUUCUUAAAUCCCUCUAAUAUCCUUUUAUUUCACUUAUAAUAAAAUCCAUAAGCCUUAUGAUUUGCAAGGUCCUGAAUUAUCGGGCCUGUAAUUCUCCCCUGUCUUCUAUAAACACCAUUCCAACAACUCUGGCCUUUUUCUUUGCGUAGUACAUUGAGCUCCUUCUUUCCUAAGGGACUCUGAACUCUAUACUUUCCCUUUCUGUAGAUGAGCAUCUGCUCUGGAGCCAGGCUACCACAAUGUGAAUACCAGCUCCUCCAUUAACCCACUAUGAACAGUUCUUGACCUUUUCUCUGCCUCAGUUCUUUCAUAUGUAAAAUGGGAAUAGUUAUAAUACCUGUCUCAUACUGUUGUAGUAAAGCUUAAAUGAGUUAAUAUGCCAUUGGGAUUUUGAUAGGAAUUGCAUUGAAUCUGUAGAUCACUUUUGGGUAGUACAGACAUUCUAAGAAUAUUAAUUCUUCCAGUCCAGGAACAUGAGAUGUCUUUCCAUUUGUCUGUGUCUGCUUUAAUUUAUUUCAAUAUUAUUUUAUGCAUUUCAGGGUACAAGUUAUUUGCCUCCUUGGCUAUACUUAUUCCUAAGUAUUUUAUCUUUAAUGCUGUUGUGAAUGAAAUUGUUUUCUUAAUUUCCUUUUCAGACAGUUCCUUGUUAGUGUACAGAAGUGCAACUAAUUUUUAUAUGUUGAUUUUGUAUCCUGCAACUUUACUAAAUAUGUUUAUGGCAUAGGUUGUGGUGAUGAUUUCAUAAGUGUAUACUUCUCUCCAAGCUCAUCAAGCUGUACACAUUAAACAUGCACAGAUUUUAUAUGUUCAUACCUCUAUAAAGUGGCUUAAAAAUGAGUACAUGAGUCAAUAUACACUAGUACUUUCCAGCAAGGGAUAGUUGUUGUUAUUGGUGAAGAUUAUUAUUCCUUUUGAUCUUUGUGUGGGUGGUUCUUUCUUUCAGUUUUCAGCUUUCAGAGAUGCCUUCUUUGGCUAUUCUGUCUGUACUUGUCCCAUACUGGAAUUUCACACUAUUUUCUUCCUAACACUAUCUUCAUCUGAGAUUUUCUUACUUCUCUUAAUUUUUAUUGCUUCUUUCCAUUUUGAAUACAAACUCCAGGAGAGCAGUGGCACCAUG